GUCCAAAGUUUAAAAGGUAAGUUAAGAAGGGAAGUAUGGCAAAUAAAAAAGCCAAGCAUAGUGAGGAAACUGUAACACAUCGCUGUGGGGCCACCAGCUUACAUGGAGCUGAAAAGAGGGAUAGCAGGUGGCUCAACAGCUCUGCCACAGAAAUGCCCUGUCCUGGGGCCUGCCACCUCACUGGCCCAAGGAGAGUGAGACACAGGGAGUGGAGCCAUCCUAGCUGACACACAGAUCCGCACUGAGAAGCAGAGUUACCCAGAUGGGCCCAGCCUAGAUCAGCAGAAUCCCAGGCAACCUGCAUAUGUGUGUAGAAAAUGCUGUUACAAAGCCACUGAGAUUUUGUUGUUACUGGUUAUACGGCAUUAUUGCAACAAAAACUAAUUGAAGUAGUUGUUAACAAAUACUCAUCCAAUCAACAUAUAUUGAGGUCUUAUUGUGUGCUAGCCACUGAAGAUGCAAUGACAAGAAAGACGGAUACAAUUAUUACUCUCAUGGAAUUUACCGUUGAUUUUUGUGGUCCCUGAGGCCCUUUUGGGAAGGGCUGCAAUGUUAAAAUUGUUUUCAGUGUAGUACUAAAACAUUCUUUUUCUUUUUCUUUUUUUUUUCCACUGUGUUGACAUUUGCACCAGUGGAACAAAGGCAAUUACAUACUUAGCUGCUGAAAUUUUGACACGAAUCAUUGCAGGGGAACCAAAACGUAGGAGUAGUCGUAUUUACUAUCACGGUGUACUUACAGUUUAAAAAAUACCAGUUUCAUUGAUGAAUGUCCUCAAUGAGGUGGUAAAAUGAUUGAUUUAAUUAAAUCUCCACUCUGAGGUUAAUAUCUUUCUAAUAAUCUGUAUGCCACAAUGGGAAGCACCCGUGAAGUACUUCCGCUGCCACUGAAAUAUGAUGGAGCAGUCCACAGAGGAUUGAAACUGGUUACCCAUUUCAAUGCAAAAGUCCAAUUUCUACCUUUCACCGUAACUAAAAACCAUACUCUGCUCAUAGUACAGAUUUAAAUACAAAUGAAAACAAAAAACAAAUGGAAGAAAAUACAGAAAGAUUUUUAAAAUCAUUGUGAUUUGGACAGUUUUCUCCAAACAUGCACAAAGGCCAAAAAACACAGGGACCUUCAGUUUUUCCUAUAUGUACUUCAGAAUUAUUCUAAUUGCUGUGAGAGUUUUUCAUAAUAAAACCCCAUUAAGUAAACAAAACAAGUCUAUGCGUGCAUUCUUUGUAACAAAUGGCAACACAGAUUUCAUUGAUGUCAUAUGAAGAAUGAGCACGUUUUAAGCACAAUCAUUGCACAUCUGAUCACAGCUGAAUGGUCAAUUUUGUCAGAAAACAAGUAUGGACAAACCAAGACUCUCCACACCAUUUGUCAUUCAUGGUCAGCAUUUUAUCCACUUUAGAGUAAUAGCCUAUUAUCAAAAUGAUACCAUUUCCCUACAUAUUCCAGAGAGCUAGGAAUUUUAAAUGCCUAUGACACAAUCAAAGGGGUAAGCGCAAUUCUGUUGUUCUGGUUGCCACAGUCAAUUGUUAACAGCUACUCUUAAUAUUUUUCAGGCUGAAAGCUUCUUCCUCCUGGAGGCUGGAGCCAAACCCUAUGGUUUCAGAUUAAUUCUUAUUAAAGAACGAUGUGAAGAUUGCUUUUUGAGCUACAGCUCACAAACAUGAGAAGAAUAUGAGUCAGGUUCUUUGGUUUUCAUAGGGCCUCUUCUAGCACAAACCAGGCUCUUUUAGGAAUUGGAAAAAGACACCCCUCCUAGUGGAAAAAUUAGAAAAAGGUGCCUCUUUGGGGUAGAAGAAUUAGAAAAAGGCAGUCCUUCCUCUGGGUGGAUGCAUCAGAGCAUUAACUAGAUUUUCCCUUAGUUCCCACGGCUGGAAGUCUUUUUGGGAGAGAACAGCCUGGCCAUCUGUGCAUUGUAGCCCUGCAUCUUCACAACAUAAACUCUGCUUUUUGCUGCCUGGUCAUAGAGUGAGACUUUGAUGAAGCAACAGUAGAGAAUAUUACUACAGAUUGUAUAAUUCCUCCUUGAAAGACUUGUGAAACAAGGCUCAUUGGAGAAGUAGUAUUUGAGACAGAAGGAUGAAGGGAUAUACUCUGACAGCCCUAAGUUUUAUUCUACUAGAAUGGGGGACAGCAAACAAGGGCCCAUAAACCAGAUCUAGUCUGCCACCAAUUUUUGUAAAUAAAGUUUUAUUGGAACACAGUCAUACUCAUUCCUGUAUGUCCUGUUUAUAGAUGCUUUUGUGCUAUGACAGCAGAGUAGAGCAAUUACAAGGCACCACACAGCUCACAAAACUUAAAAUAUUUACUCUGGCUCUUUGGAGGAAUAGUUUGUCAACCCCUAUGUAAAAUCACUCAAUGGCACUAUCUCAGUCAUACUGUGUCAGUCUUUUGCUUAUAUAUUCUUAAUGAAUCGCAAUUUAAUGUUAAUCCUUCAGCAUAUAGAGAUUCUAUAACAAAUAUCGAUGUAUGUCAACUUUCUACAUAUGCAAAAUUCUAUCUCUUAAAAAUGAUAACUUACAACUGCAGUUCGACCCCAACUAGAAUUAAUUUGUGUGCAAUGAAUUCUAUUUCUGUAAAACCACAUCUUAAGUAUGGCAAUACCUAGAUUCGAUUGUCUAGCACUCUUAAACAAGAACCCAGGUCACAAAUUCCUAUCAAAUCAUGGAAGGCAAAAAGUUGUUUACACAAAUGACCUUAUUUAUUGGCUUUUUUAAGACAAAAAAAUAAAUACAUAAUCCAAUUUGCUGUUCCUUUUUCACUUGGCCGCUAGGACAGUCAGCUAAGUUGAUGACUCAACUAAUGUAAUUUCUCACUCCAAUGUAACAUCAACUCUCCUAAACUAUCUUUUGUUGUCUUCCUUCUUAAUUGUUUUGUUUUUAUAUUAUGUUUUAUAGCCUCUAAUUCUUUAAGGCAGAAGUUUAUAAAUUUUAUAUGAUCAAAUCUUGGUCCAGUGCACCUUCUGCUAACAACAAUGUGGUGAAGGGAAAGUAUGUGGAUUUGGUGCCAGCCAGACCAGGGUUCAAAUCUUAGCUCUGCCCCUUACUAGCACCAUGCCCU
rnacentral:lncRNA from 1 species